GACGAACGCUGGCGGCGUGCUUAACACAUGCAAGUCGAACGGAAAGGCCCUGCUUUUGUGGGGUGCUCGAGUGGCGAACGGGGGAGUAACACGUGUGUAACCUGCCCUUGACUUUGGGAUAACUUCAGGAAACUGGGGCUAAUACCGGAUAGGAGCUCCUGCUGCAUGUUGGGGGUUGGAAAGUUUCGGCGUUUGGGGAUGGACUCGCGGCUUAUCAGCUUGUUGGUGGGGUAGUGGCUUACCAAGGCUUGGACGGGUAGCCGGCCUGGGAGGGUGACCGGCCACAGUGGGACUGAGGUACGACCCAGACUCCUACGGGGGGAAGCGGUGGGGAAUAUUGCACAAUGGGCGGAAGCCUGGUGCAACGACGCCGCGUGCGGGAUGACGGCCUUCGGGUUGUAAACCGCUUUCGCCUGUGACGAAGCGUGAGUGACGGUAAUGGGUAAAGAAGCACCGGCUAACUACGUG
rnacentral:rRNA from 1 species